rnacentral:rRNA from 1 species
AUCUGGGCGGCGGAAUUCAGGAUGGCCGGCGUGCUUUCGCAGUGUGUCGGUCGUUUGAUAUUUCCGUCGCCGAUUACCGCAGACGUCGCGACCUGUUCGCGGUCGGUCCCUGCUCGGAGGAGCCGUGUUCGAGUUCGUUGUGUACGUGUUUCGGCGCGUCACACGGCGAAGACGCGGAUCUCUGGCUGGCCGUCGGACAGUAUGCUUAACGGUGUCCGGUGUCGUCGUCUCGUACGCGCGGCAUCGGUACCGGUCAGUGACGAAUUCUUCGGGCCUCUUUCCGACCCGUCUUGAAACACGGACCAAGGAGUCUAACAUGCGCGCGAGUCGCGGGGUGUCGAGCGUACUUCGGUGCGUUCGUUACGUUGCGAAACCCGUACAUGUUGAAGGCGUAAUGAAAGUGAAUGGGGAAGAUGGUGUUUUCCGAGUACACGUUCCGCGAUCGGUGGUAUCGCGGCCGGACACCCGCAUUCCCGGGGCGUCUCAACGGCCCGUCGCUGAUGCGGACAGUCGUCUCUCGGGGCGGCUGUCGGUCGGCGAUGAACCGAGGCGCACCUAUAGCGUGCAUGUUGGUACCCGAAAGAUGGUGAACUAUGCCUGGCCAGGAUGAAGUCAGGGGAAACCCUGAUGGAGGUCCGCAGCGAUUCUGACGUGCAAAUCGAUCGUCUGAGCUGGGUAUAGGGGCGAAAGACUAAUCGAACCAUC